rnacentral:rRNA from 1 species
UACGUUGGGGGCAAGCGUUGUUCGGAAUUACUGGGCGUAAAGGGCUCGUAGGCGGCCAACUAAGUCGGAUGUGAAAUCCCCAAGCUUAACUUGGGAACUGCAUCCGAUACUGGAUGGCUUGAAUCCGGGAGAGGGAUGCAGAAUUCCAGGUGUAGCGGUGAAAUGCGUAGAUAUCUGGAGGAAUACCGGUGGCGAAGGCGGCAUCCUGGACCGGCAUUGACGCUGAGGAGCGAAAGCUAGGGGAGCAAACGGG